UACAGAGGUCCCAAGCGUUGUUCGGAUUCACUGGGCGUAAAGGGUGCGUAGGUGGCCGGGUAAGUCUGAUGUGAAAUCUCCGAGCUUAACUCGGAAAUGGCAUUGGAUACUAUUCGACUGGAGGGUUGGAGGGGGGACUGGAAUUCUCGGUGUAGCAGUGAAAUGCGUAGAUAUCGAGAGGAACACCAGUGGCGAAGGCGGCUCACUGGCCCGGUACUGACGCUGAGGUGCGAAAGCGUGGGGAGCAAACAGG
rnacentral:rRNA from 1 species